rfam:Triticum aestivum genome assembly, contig: Triticum_aestivum_CS42_TGACv1_scaffold_114644_2AS
GAUAUACUCCCUCCGUCCGGAAAUACUUGUCAUCAAAAUGAAUAAAAGGGGAUGUAUCUAGAUGUAUUUUAGUUCUAGAUACACCCAUUUUUGUCCAUUUUGAUGACAAGUAUUUUCGGACGGAGGGAGUACAUA